CUACGGGUGGCUCCAGUGGGGAAUAUUGGACAAUGGGCGCAAGCCUGAUCCAGCAAUGCCGCGUGAGUGAAGACGGCCUUAGGGUUGUAAAACUCUUUCGCUAGGGAAGAUAAUGACUGUACCUAGUAAAGAAGUCCCGGCUAACUCCGUGCCAGCAGCCGCGGUAAUACGGAGGGGACUAGCGUUGUUCGGAAUUACUGGGCGUAAAGAGUUCGUAGGCGGACUGACAAGUUAGAGGUGAAAUCCCAGGGCUCAACCCUGGAACUGCCUUUAAAACUGUCAGUCUAGAGACCGGAAGAGGUUAGGGGCAUACCUAGUGUAGAGGUGAAAUUCGUAGAUAUUAGGUGGAACACCAGUGGCGAAGGCGCCUAACUGGGCCGGUACUGACGCUGAGGAACGAAAGCGUGGGGAGCAAACAGGAUUAGAUACCCUCGUAGUC
rnacentral:rRNA from 1 species